rnacentral:rRNA from 2 species
GAGUUUGAUCCUGGCUCAGGACGAACGCUGGCGGCGUGCUUAACACAUGCAAGUCGAACGGUGAUGUCAGAGCUUGCUCUGGCGGAUCAGUGGCGAACGGGUGAGUAACACGUGAGUAACCUGCCCCCGACUCUGGGAUAACUGCUAGAAAUGGUAGCUAAUACCGGAUAUGACGAUUGGCCGCAUGGUCUGGUCGUGGAAAGAAUUUCGGUUGGGGAUGGACUCGCGGCCUAUCAGGUUGUUGGUGAGGUAAUGGCUCACCAAGCCUACGACGGGUAGCCGGCCUGAGAGGGUGACCGGCCACACUGGGACUGAGACACGGCCCAGACUCCUACGGGAGGCAGCAGUGGGGAAUAUUGCACAAUGGGCGAAAGCCUGAUGCAGCAACGCCGCGUGAGGGAUGACGGCCUUCGGGUUGUAAACCUCUUUUAGUAGGGAAGAAGCGAAAGU